AUUGUCUCAAAGGGGUGCUUGUUUAUUCAGGCUGAGAUUAUACCCAUAGAACCUGGGCGGGUAAUGCUGCCAAGGAAAAUCGAGAAAUUACUUG
rnacentral:ncRNA from 1 species